rnacentral:rRNA from 1 species
UAUACUGCAAGUCGAGCGGACAGAUGGGAGCUUGCUCCCUGAUGUUAGCGGCGGACGGGUGAGUAACACGUGGGUAACCUGCCUGUAAGACUGGGAUAACUCCGGGAAACCGGGGCUAAUACCGGAUGGUUGUUUGAACCGCAUGGUUCAGACAUAAAAGGUGGCUUCGGCUACCACUUACAGAUGGACCCGCGGCGCAUUAGCUAGUUGGUGAGGUAACGGCUCACCAAGGCGACGAUGCGUAGCCGACCUGAGAGGGUGAUCGGCCACACUGGGACUGAGACACGGCCCAGACUCCUACGGGAGGCAGCAGUAGGGAAUCUUCCGCAAUGGACGAAAGUCUGACGGAGCAACGCCGCGUGAGUGAUGAAGGUUUUCGGAUCGUAAAGCUCUGUUGUUAGGGAAGAACAAGUGCCGUUCAAAUAGGGCGGCACCUUGACGGUACCUAACCAGAAAGCCACGGCUAACUACGUGCCAGCAGCCGCGGUAAUACGUAGGUGGCAAGCGUUGUCCGGAAUUAUUGGGCGUAAAGGGCUCGCAGGCGGUUUCUUAAGUCUGAUGUGAAAGCCCCCGGCUCAACCGGGGAGGGUCAUUGGAAACUGGGGAACUUGAGUGCAGAAGAGGAGAGUGGAAUUCCACGUGUAGCGGUGAAAUGCGUAAAGAUGUGGAGGAACACCAGUGGCGAAGGCGACUCUCUGGUCUGUAACUGACGCUGAG